CACGUAGGGCGCGAGCGUUGUCCGGAAUUAUUGGGCGUAAAGAGCUCGUAGGCGGCCUGUUGCGUCCGCUGUGAAAGCCCGGGGCUUAACCCCGGGUCGGCAGUGGAUACGGGCAGGCUAGAGGUAGGUAGGGGAGAAUGGAAUUCCCGGUGUAGCGGUGAAAUGCGCAGAUAUCGGGAGGAACACAGGUGGCGAAGGCGGAUCUCUGGGCCUGUUCUGACGCUGAGGCGCGAAAGCUAGGGGAGCGAACAGG
rnacentral:rRNA from 1 species